GUUUUUGUAGUUGAAUAGCAACAGUGGUUUUUCGGACCACAGGUCUUGGUGAAAUUGUAAUCCAAGUAGAAAU